UACAGAGGGGGCAAGCGUUGUUCGGAAUUACUGGGCGUAAAGGGCGCGUAGGCGGCCUUCUAAGUCGAACGUGAAAUCCCUGGGCUCAACCCAGGAACUGCGUCCGAUACUGGAAGGCUUGAAUCCGGGAGAGGGAUGUGGAAUUCCCGGUGUAGGGGUGAAAUCCGUAGAUAUUCGCAAGAACACCAGUGGCGAAGGCGGCUCACUGGCCCGGUACUGACGCUGAGGUGCGAAAGCGUGGGGAGCAAACAGG
rnacentral:rRNA from 1 species